UGGCCCCUUCCAGCGUGCACAUCGUUCGCGGCGAGAGACGCGGAAAAAGAGAUACGGGUAAAUGUGCGGCUACGGAAGAUCAAGGAGAGAAGGAGAAGGAUGUUGGGGAAUCUCUCGACAGGUUGCCCCGUGUACCUGAGGUAUAAGGGACAUGACAGGGUAGAAGUUCUCGGAUGCAUCGCGUUUGCUGUAGGAAAGUUGAUCGUCAGGGACGGAUUUUGAGUUUACAAAAGUUGUAUCAUUUCAAGGGGGACAUAAGAUGGUGCCAUUAGUUUGACCUUGAAGAGUCAUCUGAAGAUCACGUGAAGCCAGUAAGUCGAUUGGGUACAGCUGGAGCACUCCGCACGCAACAAAUAGAUUUUGCGUAUAUCUCAUACCUCACGAUGUUGCUAUCUUCGUCCGUCGAAUCGCUGUUCCGUAUUUAAAGAGCACAGGUCAAGUACCCGCGCCAAAUAUUCAACAGACAUCAUACGAUGACAUCCAAUUGAUAGUCACUGACAAUCACUGAAUAAAAGAAUUUGAAAUACCCGGUGGGUGGACCAGUUCUCCGUCUUCGAAGAUCUGUGCACAACUGUCAUGUCCUUUCACGAUAAAUGUAUCGUUUCUUACAAGUUUUACAAAGA